rnacentral:rRNA from 1 species
AGACAGGUGGUGCGUGGUUGUCCUCCCCUCGUGUCGAGAGAUUGUGUUUUAACUCCCGCCACGAGCGAACCCCUUGCCUUUAAUUGCCAGCUUUAAGUUGGGAACUCUAGAAGAACUGCCAGGGAUAACCUGAAGGAAGGUGGGGAUGACUUCAAAUCAUCAUGCCCCUUAUGCUUAGGGCUACACACUUGCUACAAUGGGUGGUACAAAGGGAAGCAAACCGGUGAGGCGGAGAAAAUCCCUUAAAGCCAUUCUCAUUUCGGAUUGUAGGCUGAAACUCGCCUACAUGAAGCUGGAGUUACUAGUAAUCGCAAAUCAAAAUGCUGCGUGUGAAUGUUUCCCCGUCUCUUGUACACCGCGAAAA